rnacentral:rRNA from 1 species
AUUGAACGCUGGCGGCAUGCCUUGCACAUGCAAGUCGAACGGUAACAGGUCUUCGGAUGCUGACGAGUGGCGAACGGGUGAGUAAUACAUCGGAACGUGCCUAGUAGUGGGGGAUAACUACUCGAAAGAGUGGCUAAUACCGCAUGAGAUCUACGGAUGAAAGCAGGGGAUCGCAGGACCUUGUGCUACUAGAGCGGCCGAUGGCAGAUUAGGUAGUUGGUGGGAUAAAAGCUUACCAAGCCGACGAUCUGUAGCUGGUCUGAGAGGACGAUCAGCCACCCUGGGACUGAGAGACGGCCCAGACUCCUACGGGAGGCAGCAGUGGGGAAUUUUGGACAAUGGGCGAAAGCCUGAUCCAGCAAUGCCGCGUGCAGGAUGAAGGCCUUCGGGUUGUAAACUGCUUUUGUACGGAACGAAAAGCCCCGGGUUAAUACCCUGGGGUCAUGACGGUACCGUAAGAAUAAGCACCGGCUAACUACGUGCCAGCAGCCGCCGUAA